AGUAACUCAUGAGUUAAUCAUGAAUUGAAGUGUUGUUAAGUGCUUGUUAAAGAUGCAGUAACACUAACUAUCCGUAGGCAUAGUUCUGAAGGCAUGUCCAAAUAGAAUAAUACAUAUUUGUGUCCAGGUUAUGUUUGCAAUUCAUUUAUAAAUGCUUUGUAAAGCAUAGAAAGUGCUCACUUUAGAUGGGCUCACACCAUGUAGUCAACUAAUCCGUAGUAACUCAUGAAUUAAUCAUGGGUAACCUAAUUGGUAAGUAUUUGUAACAUAUGUAUUAAAGGCACCCAGUGCAACUUUCGAGGCAAAAAUGAACAUUCAAUUUCUAGUUUUUUUUACACGUAGUAUAUUUCAAUAUCUCUCUACCAUUACAUAUCGACAUUCAAGGAGCGAAGAUGAGACGUCGUUGUGUGGUGAGAACUGAUAGAAAAUCGUAAACAAAAACAAUGGGCGCCAUGUUCUUUAUUUAUUGUAACCUACAAAAAAUAAACAGGAUUCCAGUCGGCAAGCCUCAGAGUUUUCCGAAGUUCGAACACGUGACGUCGCUAUUUACAAGAUGGCGGAUCUAAGUUGUUCAGCGACGAUGGCGAACCCAAAUAGAAAGCGUGGUCGACCUCGUCUUUUCACUACACCAGAGAAAAAAAAGAAGUUUUAUAAGAUGCUUGGGCGUCGUGUGUUCUUGGGCGACACAUUUGUCGAAUGGAGGAAUUUAAGAAAGAAGCUCGGGAUGAACAGGGACAGCGAACUUGCGCGUGUGCUGUUGGACAGGUUUGUAAUUACUGAAAACUAUUCAAUUACAGGCAUGUAAGUACUAACGAAACAAAACUAACUAAAGAAACGAAUGUAUGGUUUAUGAACAGUUUUCAGGCGACAGGUCAGCCCACCGCCAUCAACAGUGUUCCAAGCUCGUCCAGUCCACAGGCCACAUGGCAGCCCCCGCGUUUUGACGAUGUGUCCAGUGUGAGUGGACACUCAGAAAGUGGUACAGCUUUCAUCUCCCAACCUCUCUUCAAUGAACCUGGAAAUGAAAAGGAGAGCAAUGUGCUGGAAAACACCCAGGAAGACUUGACAAUAUCAUGUAUAGAGCCAGAGCUGCAGUCUGUGGAGAGCAG
ensembl:lncRNA